GCUUUUUAAGAAGUCUCUGAAAUCCUCCUCAUGUGUAACACACCUGGGCGUGGGAGCUUUUUGAAAAGGAGCCGCCUUUUCCAUCCCCCUCCCCUUUCGCAUUGUUAACAGAGGUUUGGCAAACGCCAGAGCUAAGGAACCCAGCCAGCCAGGGGACGCCGCUUUUGGCGCUCGAAUGACGUUCAACCAAGUGACUUCCAUUCAAACGGAGUAAGCUGAGAAGGAGAUGACACUUUGGAGGCAACGUCUGGAGCUAGACUCCCCUGGGUGUGUUUCUCCCGUUUAGGCAGCGCAGGAGGUGGCUCUCUGAGCAGGAAUGAGACCCUUGAUGGAGGAACUUUGCUGUGCCACAAUACCCAGAGAAUGCUGAAUAUUCAUUACAUUUGACUUCUGCAAGUGCCUCUCCGGCAUUUGGUCAUAGAGCCAGCAUGCUUUAUUACAGCAAUGACUUUUUCUUUCCUUGCGGAAGGUGAUGUGGUUUUUACUGCCAGUUCAGUUUGCUCCUGCUCUAGGCUCCUUUCCCAUUGUGCAUAAGCUUUUCAAAUUUAUCUCUGAAAAGAGAGACGGGGGAAAAAUUCCGAUUAGCUUCAGUGCUUCAACUCCGUGAAAGGGAGAUUUACUGUCCUGUUAGAUGGAUGAGGGUGCCCAGCCUCUGAACUUUCACUUUCAAACAGGAGGUUAUUGCAAUAAAUAUAAAGCCAGAUGACUGCACUUCCCAGUGAGGAGGAAGGAGACAGCUCCAUUUACACCUCUGUCCUGGGGUGAGCGAGGCAACUUUCCUAAGGGGCCUCAUGCAGCCUGUGCUCAAA